AACGAACGCUGGCGGCAGGCUUAACACAUGCAAGUCGAACGCCCCGCAAGGGGAGUGGCAGACGGGUGAGUAACGCGUGGGAAUGUGCCCCAAGGUACGGAACAACACCGGGAAACUGGUGCUAAUACCGUAUGUGACCGAGAGGUGAAAGAUUUAUCGCCUUGGGAUCAGCCCGCGUUAGAUUAGCUAGUUGGUGAGGUAAUGGCUCACCAAGGCUACGAUCUAUAGCUGGUCUGAGAGGAUGAUCAGCCACACUGGGACUGAGACACGGCCCAGACUCCUACGGGAGGCAGCAGUGGGGAAUCUUGGACAAUGGGCGCAAGCCUGAUCCAGCCAUGCCGCGUGAAUGAUGAAGGCCUUAGGGUUGUAAAGUUCUUUCGUCGGGGACGAUAAUGACGGUACCCGAAGAAGAAGCCCCGGCUAACUUCGUGCCAGCAGCCGCCGCAG
rnacentral:rRNA from 1 species